UAGGGAAUCUUCGGCAAUGGACGAAAGUCUGACCGAGCAACGCCUAGUGAGUGAAGAAGGUUUUCGGAUCGUAAAACUCUGUUGUUAGAGCAGAACAAGGACGUUAGUAACUGAACGUCCCCUGACGGUAUCUAACCAGAAAGCCACGGCUAACUACGUGCCAGCAGCCGCGGUAAUACGUAGGUGGCAAGCGUUGUCCGGAUUUAUUGGGCGUAAAGCGAACGCAGUCGGUUUCUUAAGUCUGAUGUGAAAGCCCCCGGCUCAACCGGGGAGGGUCAUUGGAAACAGGGGUACUUGUGUGCAGAAUAGGAGAGUUGAAUUCCAUAUGUAGCGAUGAAAUGCGUAGAUAUAUGAAGGAACACCAGUGGCGAAGGCGGCUCUCUUGUCUGUAACUGACGCUGAGGCUCGAAAGCGUGGGGAGCAAACAGG
rnacentral:rRNA from 1 species